rnacentral:rRNA from 1 species
AGAGUUUGAUCAUGGCUCAGGACGAACGCUGGCGGCGCGCUUCACACAUGCAAGUCGAACGGGGUCCAACUAGUGGCAACACUAGGGAAGAUCUAGUGGCGAACGGGUGCGUAACACGUGAGGAACCUACCCCGGACUCCGGAAUAACAGCGGGAAACCGCUGCUAAUACUGGAUAUCGUCAUAUGGUCGCAUGGCCGAAUGACGAAAGAUUUAUCGGUUCGGGACGGUCUCGCGGCCUAUCAGCUUGUUGGCGGGGUAAUGGCCCACCAAGGCAUCGACGGGUAGCUGGUCUGAGAGGAUGAUCAGCCACACUGGGACUGAGACACGGCCCAGACUCCUACGGGAGGCAGCAGUGGGGAAUCUUGCGCAAUGGGCGAAAGCCUGACGCAGCAACGCCGCGUGGGGGAUGAAGGCUCUCGGGUUGUAAACCCCUUUCAGCAGGAACGAAAAUGACGGUACCUGCAGAAGAAGGCCCGGCCAACUACGUGCCAGCAGCCGCGGUAAUACGUAGGGGCCAAGCGUUGUCCGGAUUUAUUGGGCGUAAAGAGCUCGUAGGCGGUUUGGAUAGUCGGGUGUGAAAACUCCGAGCUUAACUCGGAGACGCCACCCGAUACUGCCAUGACUAGAGUCCGGUAGGGGAGCAGGGAAUUCCUGGUGUAGCGGUGAAAUGCGCAGAUAUCAGGAGGAACACCGGUGGCGAAGGCGCUGCUCUGGGCCGGUACUGACGCUGAGGAGCGAAAGCGUGGGUAGCAAACAGGAUUAGAUACCCUAGUAGUCC